AUUGAACGCUGGCGGCAGGCCUAACACAUGCAAGUCGAGCGGAUGAAGGGUGCUUGCUCCUGGAUUCAGCGGCGGACGGGUGAGUAAUGCCUAGGAGUCUGCCUGGUAGUGGGGGAUAACGUCUGGAAACGGGCGCUAAUACCGCAUACGUCCUGAGGGUGCAAGUGGGGGAUCUUCGGACCUCACGCUAUCAGAUGAGCCUAGGUCGGAGUAGCUAGUUGGUGGGGUAAAGGCCUACCAAGCCGACGAUCCGUAACUGGACUGAGCGGAGGAUCACUCACAUGGGAACGGAGACACGGACCAGGGUCCUAAGGGAGGCAGCAGAGGGGAAUAUUGGACAAUGGGCGAGAGCCUGACCCAGCCAGGCCGCGUGUGAGAAGAAGGUCUUCGGAUUGUAAAGCACGUUAAGUUGGGAGGAAGGGCAGUAAGUUAAUACCUUGCGGUUUUGACGGUACCAGCAGAAUAAGCACCGGCUAACUACGUG
rnacentral:rRNA from 1 species